GAUGAACGCUGGCGGCGUGCCUAAUACAUGCAAGUCGAGCGAACGUCAUAGAAGCUUGCUUCUAUGACGUUAGCGGCGGACGGGUGAGUAACACGUGGGCAACCUGCCUGUAAGACUGGGAUAACUUCGGGAAACCGAAGCUAAUACCGGAUAGGAUCUUCUCCUUCAUGGGAGAUGAUUGAAAGAUGGUUUCGGCUAUCACUUACAGAUGGGCCCGCGGUGCAUUAGCUAGUUGGUGAGGUAACGGCUCACCAAGGCAACGAUGCAUAGCCGACCUGAGAGGGUGAUCCGCCACACUGGAACUGAGACACGGCCCAGACUCCUACGGGAGGCAGCAGUAGGGAAUCUUCCGCAAUGGACGAAAGUCUGACGGAGCAACGCCGCGUGAUUGAUGAAGGCUUUCGGGUCGUAAAACUCCGUUGUUAGGGAAGAACAAGUACGAGAGUAACUGCUCGUACCUUGACGGUACCUAACCAGAAAGCCACGGCUAACUACGCGCCAGCCGCCGCCGUAA
rnacentral:rRNA from 1 species